rnacentral:rRNA from 1 species
CGUACCAACUUCCGGGGGAAACCUUGGUAGGGCCUGUGUUAACUGCACAGGACGGUAAAAACCCGGUUGGGAUAGACAAUGGACGAUCCGCAGCGGACCCCUACCGGCGAGAGCCUACGGGGAGCGUUCACAGACUAGGUGAUUGUGGGCUAGGCAAAAUGCUUGGUCUAAGAUAUAGUCGGCGCCCACGGGAAACCCUGGGAGUUCUGCAGAGAGCACUUGAUAGCGUCCGUAGGUGAACCUGCGGAAGGAUCAUUACAGAGUUCAUGCCCUCACGGGUAGACCUCCCACCCUUGAAUAUCUCACCUUUGUUGCUUUGGUGGGCUGCUAUUAAGCGUCGGCCCUAGCUGACUAUGGCCCACCAGAGGAUCCAAACUCGUUUGUUUCGUGAUGUCUGAGUACUAUUUAAUAGUUAAAACUUUCAACAACGGAUCUCUUGGUUCUGGCAUCGAUGAAGAACGCAGCGAAAUGCGAUAAGUAAUGUGAAUUGCAGAAUUCAGUGAAUCAUCGAAUCUUUGAACGCACAUUGCGCCCUUUGGUAUUCCGAGGGGCAUGCCUGUUCGAGCGUCAUUGUAACCAUUCAAGCCUAGCUUGGUAUUGGAGUGCGCGAUUCCGCGGCUUCUAAAAUCAGUGGCAGUACCAUCUGUCUUUAAGCGUAGUAAUACCUCUCGCUAUAGAGUCUUGAUGGGUGCUUGCCAGCAAUAUUCAUCUCACGGUUGACCUCGGAUCAGGUAGGGAUACCCGCUGAACUUAA